CUUGGCCUUGAUGGGAUCCUGUGUGUCUGUGUGAGACUCCAGAAUGCUCCUCACUCUCACUGGACUCAGUGUGGACUGAUCCUCUUCUUCCGGUUGUGUGAGGCACAGUGUGCGAGGAUUGCCCACGACUAGACUGCUCAGAUCUAGAGGUAUCUCUUGACUGCCGUUGCGUCGUUCUUUGUGUCCCCUGACCUGAGGAUCCAGACUCUCCCUGUUGAGAUCCUGCUUGGCCUUGAUGGGAUCCUGUGUGUCUGUGUGAGACUCCAGAAUGCUCCUCACUCUCACUGGACUCAGUGUGGACUGAUCCUCUUCUUCUGGUUGAGUGGGGCACAGUGUGCGAGGAUUGCCCACGACUAGACUGCUCAGAUCUAGAGGUAUCUCUUGACUGCCGUUGCGUCGUUCUUUGUGUCCCCUGACCUGAGGAUCCAGACUCUCCCUGUUGAGAUCCUGCUUGGCCUUGAUGGGAUCCUGUGUGUCUGUGUGAGACUCCAGAAUGCUCCUCCCUCUCACUGGACUCAGUGUGGACUGAUCCUCUUCUUCUGGUUGAGUGGGGC